AGGGAAGAAACGGUCUGAUCUAAUACAUUGGGCUAAUGACGGUACCGAAGAAUAAGCACCGGCUAACUACGUGCCAGCAGCCGCGGUAAUACGUAGGGUGCAAGCGUUAAUCGGAAUUACUGGGCGUAAAGCGUGCGCAGGCGGUUAUGUAAGACAGGUGUGAAAUCCCCGGGCUUAACCUGGGAAUGGCAUUUGUGACUGCAUAGCUAGAGUGUGUCAGAGGGGGGUAGAAUUCCACGUGUAGCAGUGAAAUGCGUAGAGAUGUGGAGGAAUACCGAUGGCGAAGGCAGCCCCCUGGGGUAACACUGACGCUCAUGCACGAAAGCGUGGGGAGCAAACAGGAUUAGAUACCCCUGGUAGUCCACGCNNNAAACGAUGUCUACUAGUUGUCGGGUCUUAAUUGACUUGGUAACGCAGCUAACGCGUGAAGUAGACCGCCUGGGGAGUACGGUCGCAAGAUUAAAACUCAAAGGAAUUGACGGGGACCCGCACAAGCGGUGGAUGAUGUGGAUUAAUUCGAUGCAACGCGAAAAACCUUACCUACCCUUGACAUGGCUGGAAUCCUUGAGAGAUUGAGGAGUGCUCGAAAGAGAACCAGUACACAGGUGCUGCAUGGCUGUCGUCAGC
rnacentral:rRNA from 1 species